CUAACUGCCAUGCUCCCUCGGGGUUCCCAUAAUUCCCAGCACAGUGAUUACUCUAUGAUGUGUAGAUGCUGGGAAUUAUGGGAACCGCGAGGGAGCAUGGUAGUUA